CCGGGUUCAUUGGAUUCUUUUUGUCUUCAGGCACGUAUUAGUCAUAUAGUAAUCUCUUCCUCUUUUGGGGAGAGAGGUGGCGGCGGCGUAUCCCCACGUGGGAGUUUCUCGGGACUUCGGAGUGACUGACAGAGUUCCAGCCGCAUCAUGUCACAAGCACGGAAAGUCUGUACCUGCAGCAAAGUAGAACAACCUUCCUAAAGAAGUUGGCGCUCCCUACGAAGAGACUUGGAGUCAUUUUAUCACCCAGGUGGACUCUCCAUGACAGCUGUGAUCCAGUCCGGUCCCCCUACUUUACACACUGGGAUGAGUUUAGCAGAGUCUGGGCCAGAAUCUAAUUUCAAAUCAACCUGUAGUUAUGAAGUAUCUAGUUUUGUGCUAGGUAGAAGGGACGCAGUCUAGAAGGAAAUAGUUCCUGCCUUCUAGGAAGGAUUGCAAAUGAUGAAGCAAUAUUCAGAAGAAAGUAAAUAGAAAUGAUAAGGCAGCUAGAGGGCUGAAAAUGGAGUCAGGAAGCUAUGACCCAGGGCAAGUCCCAUAAUAUUUUGUCUUAACAGAAAGAAAUGAAAAACCAAUGCCAAGAAAACCUGUGAACAAUGUUACAAGAGGUCCACUAGUGAAUAACAAAAAUAGAGAUGAUAGGGCACAAACAACUGAAAUGGCCAGGAAAAGCUUGUUAGAAUGAUUCUGGUCUAUGUAGCCAUAAGGUGAAAAAAGAGAAGGGGAAUGAUCCUGGGAAAAUGAGUUGGAGAGUGGAUUGUGAAAAGCCACACCAGGGAUCUUUGUUUUAUUUUAGAGACAUUGAGGAAUUAUUGAGCCUUGAAUUCAAGGAAGUGGUAUGCUAAGGAUUGUGUUUGAAAAAUAUCCAUUUGGUAGCUGUAAGAGGCAGUCAGAUAAUAGGGGCGUGGAAUAAGGUAUGGUUUAUUUUUGGGGGGGGCCCUUCUAUCUUAGAAUCAAUCUGUGUAUUGGUUUUUAGAAAAGAUAAUACUUGGCUAUUUUGAAUUUGAGAUGCUUGUGGGGCAUCCAUAGAGGCUGAGUGUAGAGAAAUUAUUUUUACUGUAUCACUUGAUUGCUAAUCUUAUUCCAUAAUGUUUUUUGUGUAUCUAAAUCUUUUGCCAAGUUCAGAGAUUUUCCCCUAGUCUUAGGAAUGUCUUUUGUAUUUCUUGCUCUAAAGCAUCUUCUAAAACUGGAACUCAGAAUUUAAGUUGUCUUCUCUUAAAAACAGCUGACCCGAGCCAGCUAUGUCAAGGGGCCAUGGGCACUUAUCCUUGGUCUCCAUUAAAAUAAAUUGUAAAAGUCAAAACUUAACCAGAUCUUCCCAUCUAGAUCACAGAGAGCUAUUAGAAUCAUAUGACCUAUGAAUUACUCCUCAUGACUCCUCACCAUCAUGAAAUUAGAGCUGUAAAAUAUAAGCCCACCUCAUUAGAUAUCCACAAAUUAGAGAUGUCUAAUUUUUCAGGGGAGGGCUAAAUAAUGAGCUGUCAGAACUGUACUGAAAUGGAAAAAAGACCCCUAUAUCAGGGUCUCUGAUCACUGACCAUUAAUUUGCUGGUUAAUUGCUAGCCUAAUUAAUAGAAUUAUUUUUCAGACCCAGAAACCAGUCACUGAGCAUUUUAUUUGCCACAGAAUGUUUCCUUGAAAUCCAUAUAGGCAAGGAUCAAUCCCUUUGGGCGCUUCUUAGUACAAUACAACUUUGUUGAAUGGAUAAAUUAGAGGGAAUGUGGAUUUGGAUUCAGUUGCCUGGAGGACAGUGAUUACUUUGUUUUGUUUUCAUCCAAGAAAUUAAUAAAGCUAAAUAAACCAAAUGUGAUUUGUUGGAA